GACGAACGCUAGCGGCGGGCUUAACACAUGCAAGUCGAACGGAAAGUCCCUCCGUUUGUGUGGUGCUCGAGUGGCGAACGGGUGAGUAACACGUGUGUAACCUUCCCUUAACUUUGGGGUAACUUCAUGAAACUGGGGCUAAGACCGGAAAUGAGCUCCUGCUGAUUGGUGGGGGUUGGAAGGUUUACGCGGCUGGGGAUGGACUGUUGGCUUAUCAACUGGUUGGUGGGGUAGUGGCUUACCAAGGAGUUGGCGGGUAGGCGGCCUGAGAGGGUGACCGGCCACAUUGGGACUGAGAUACGGACCAGACUGAUACGGUCGGGAGCAGUGAGGAAUAUUGCACAAUGGGCGGAAGAAUGAUGCAGCAACGCCGCGCGCGGGAUGACGGCAUUCGGGUUGUAUUCCGCUUUCGCCUGUGACGAAGAGUGAGUGACGGUAAUGGGUAAAGAAGCCCCGGCUAACUACGUG
rnacentral:rRNA from 1 species